AUUGAACGCUGGCGGCAGGCUUAACACAUGCAAGUCGAGCGAGCGGCGGACGGGUGAGUAAGGUCUGGGAAACUGCCUGAUGGAGGGGGCAAAAUAGUGGAAAAGGUAGCUAAUCCCGCAUAACAUCAGAUGUGCCCAGAUGGGAUUAGUUAGUAGGUGGGGUAAUGGCUCACCUAGGCGACGAGCCCUAGCUGGUCUGCGAGGCAGACCAGCAACACUGGAAGUGAGACACGGUCCAGACUCCUACGGGAGGCAGCAGUGGGGAAUAUUGCACAAUGGGCGCAAGCCUGAUGCAGCCAUGCCGCGUGUGUGAAGAAGGCCUUCGGAUUGUAAAGCACUUUCAGCGAGGAGGCGUUACUCGCAGAAAAAGCACCGGCUAACUCCGUGCCAGCAGCCGCGGUAAUAC
rnacentral:rRNA from 1 species